AGGAAGAGGACAAUGGUUUUCAGACCCAGCAUUGAUGGCAACACCUGCCUUCCAGGUGGGAGGCAGGAUUCCUCUCAGAGACAAGAUGCUGAAGAAGAUGCUGAGAGACGCCCUGGGGGACCUUCUCAGAAGAGAAAAGCAAGCCCCACUGGACCCUCCAGAAAGGCAGGAAUGAGGGGAAGGCAACGGCUCUGCAUUGGCUGGCCCUGAUUACAGAAAAAAAAAUUGCUCUGCUUCAGAGUGGGUCAAGAGACCCACUGAUUAAAAGCCUCAAAUGUAUGAAUACAUAUGGGCACCAAGAAGGGAACAGACACGGGGCCUGUUGAGGGUAGAGAAUGGAAGGAAAGUAAGGAAUUAAAACCACUGUGCUUAUUACCUGGGUGGCAAAAUAAUCUGCACACCAAACCCCUGUGACAUGCAACUUACCUG
rnacentral:lncRNA from 1 species